GGGUGGUGGCCGAGGACGGGACCCGGUGGCGGGCCGGGGCGGUGGUGCUGGCCACCGGCGGCUUCGGCUUCGCGCCGGAGCUGUUCGCC
rnacentral:tRNA from 1 species